GAAGACGGAUUUUUUUUGAGUUCCCAGCAUUGUUCUCAUACUCGUAGAAAAUGUUGUUCAUUUUUACGGGCUCAUUUGAUGGUUUCAAGGAUAACGGUCUUUACACAAACAUCUUGUAGAAGGUCGGUAUACUCU